rnacentral:rRNA from 1 species
UACGAAGGGGGCUAGCGUUGCUCGGAAUCACUGGGCGUAAAGGGUGCGUAGGCGGCGCGGUAAGUCGGGUGUGAAAUCUCGGAGCUUAACUCCGAAACUGCAUUCGAUACUGCCGUGCUUGAGGACUGGAGAGGAGACUGGAAUUUACGGUGUAGCGGUGAAAUGCGUAGAUAUCGUAAGGAAGACCAGUGGCGAAGGCGGGGCUCUGGACAGUUCCUGACGCUGAGGCACGAAGGCCAGGGGAGCAAACGGG